rnacentral:rRNA from 1 species
UACGGGGGGGGCAAGCGUUGUUCGGAAUUACUGGGCGUAAAGCGCGCGUAGGCGGAUCGCUAAGUCAGGGGUGAAAUCCCCGGGCUUAACCUGGGAACUGCGUUUGAAACUGGGGAGCUGGAGUGUAGAAGAGGGGGGUGGAAUUCCAGGUGUAGCAGUGAAAUGCGUAGAGAUCUGGAGGAACACCGAUGGCGAAGGCAGCCCCCUGGGCUAACACUGACGCUCAUGCACGAAAGCGUGGGGAGCAAACAGG